rnacentral:snRNA from 1 species
GUAACUGCUUGGCAGGGGAGACACCUUGAUCACGAAGGAGGUUUUCCCAGAGUGAGGUUCAGCCAUUUGCAUUCUGGCUGUGCUGACCCCUGCAAGUUCCCCAAAUGUGGGAAACCUGACUGCAUAAUUUGUGGUAGUGGGAGACAGCAUGUGCGCUUUCCCGUU